UCAUAAGUGCAGUUUACACCAGAGAGCUGCAAUGCAGGUGGGAGAGACGUGAUGCUAAAAAAAUAGGAGAGUCUUGCUCUUAUUCUUUCAGGGUAUUUGGAACACUGAGAAACAGAAUUUAAAAAAGCAGGUAAAAAGGCAAAAGCCUUAGCUUACAGGCUUCUGUCUCUCUUUUGUGGGGCAGUUGUGAGUUGAUUUCCACAGCUGCCUCUUUUUCUGCAAGACAAGGCUGCUCUUCUCUGUUUAUGAGUGUAUCAACUUUACCAACAACAUCAUCGGGAAUUAUCAUUCUUAUAAACAAUAAUUUACUAGUUUCCACAACUUCCAGACUCUUUUCAGGCACAAAAGAAAGCAAAUCUGUGCUCCUGGGGAUGUAUUUUUACAUGGGUUUUGCUCCUGAGGGUUUAUACUCCUAAAUAAAAAAUAUAAUACAUUUCAGGAGAAGAGUGAAAGCACUAGCAAGAAACAUGAUAAGCAUCCAGGUGGUGUUUAUCCACAGAAAUAUGAAGUUUUAACAGCACUGUGGUAGGGCAGAGGAUUCUCCUGCUGCCUCAAUCUGCUGGCAGGUGCAGAAAUCUUACAGAAGCAGGAGCAGCAGGCUAAUCACUGCUGACUCACUGGGGCAAGCACGGAUCAUUAGACUCCACUGCAAGCAGGAUAUCAUUUUGUCAUUUGUCUGUCAAAUGCUCUUUGCAGGAGCAGUGACCUCUUAACUGUGAGUGUUGAUUUUGUUUCAGACAGAGACUCAGAGAUGAGAUGCUAGUUUCUGUCACAUGGAGCCAGGGUCCGUCCUUGUCAAGGCUGGUUGUGUUGCACUCCGGAGCCAUUUCCUAGCAAUUUAAGGAGCUGCUAGACGUAUGUGAAGCUGAGUGUGACCCGUCACUCAUCCAAGGGACAUGGAAUGAGAUGGGAGCACAGUGUCCUACACACCCAGUCCAGCUGCAAGGAAAGACCCUGACUGUCGUCUGUGAUGUGUUGGCUGAGCCUGUGCCAGUCGAUGGAGACUCCAUCCCCAGCUUCUUAAAAAUUCUCGCACGUGACGCUGCUCUUGGCUGCACCGCAGCUCCGGGCUAGCUCUACGGUGCUACUCCAGCACAGGCAGUCGCCAGGAGUGGGGAACGA